CCUACGGGAGGCAGCAGUAGGGAAUAUUCGGCAAUGGUGGGAACCCUGACCGAGCAAAGCCGCGUGAAGGAAGAAGGAAUUCGGUCUGUUAACUUUUUUUAUAAAGGAAGAAAGACGGCUGGAGGAAAUGACAUCCGAGUGACGGUACUUAAUGAGAAAGCCACGGCUAACUACGGGACAGCCGCCGCUGUAAUACGUAGGAGGCUAGCGUUGUCCGGAAUUAUUUGGCGUAAAGAGGGAGCAGGCGGCAGCCAAGGUCUGUGGUGAAAGACUGAAGCUUAACUUCAGUAAGCCAUCGAAACUGGGCAGCUCGAGUGCAGGAGAGGAACGUGGAAUUCGAGGUGUAGCGGUGAAAUGCGUAGAUAUAUGGAGGAACACCAGUGGCGAAGGCGACGAUCUGGCCUCCAACUGACGCUCAGGCACGAAAGCGUGGGGAGCGAACAGGAUUAGAUACCCUAGUAGUC
rnacentral:rRNA from 1 species